rnacentral:lncRNA from 1 species
GCCGCUUAGAUCAAUUGAGAUGAAAGGUAAAGCACGUUCUGGCCAUUGCUCAUGCCCACUUUUAAGUAUAUUUUUAGCAUUCCUUCCAAGGUUACAAUCCUCUUCAGUGGAACUCUGAAUUUAAUUCAAACUUCUGCAAGCUUCCACACUCGGCCAAAGCAUGACAAUAAAAAUUAUCUGGGCACAAUUAAAGUGCACGGAUGUAAGAUACAGAAACGGUAAGCAUGAAGCAUAAACACAAAGGCAGAUUCUAGUUAGGCUCUGCUCACCUGCAGCAGAGGCCGGCAGCGACGUGUGCUCCGUUCUGUUCAUACAAUCAGAUCUUAGGCAGCGCAGUCGACACAGACGCACAGCGUCGACACAAAAGCAUGGUGUGCAGAGGAAUCGAUGCAGCGGCAGAGAAACAACUUCGUGGCGGUGGCCUUUGCACAAUUGCAGCGGCAGAGAAGCAAGAAACGUUUUCGUGACUUCGUGUCUGUUGUUUGUGCAUAGAAACGCAACAAGACAGGGAUGAUCUAACGAAACUGCGAAUGUGUCAAGCGAAGAGCCAAAGAGCGUGGGCGAGUGUGCCUUGUCUUUCUCUCUCUCUCUCUUUUGUCAGUGACCAAACCGCAAAGACAAAAGUACCGUUAUUUGCGAGCCAUUGCCUGGACACAAUUAGAAUGUUUAGAUUGAAAAAUAACAACAGCUGC